GGGCCUGGUUAGUACUUGGAUGGGAGACCGCCUGGGAAUACCAGGUGCUGUAAGCUUUUCUCUUCUUUUCUUGCAUCUUUUUGCCGUGUUCUCUCUCCAAGAGGCUAGGAUAUCGGUCUUUGGGGAGCCUGGUCUUUUGCUUGGACAAAUGCAAGUGCACUUGGAGAUUAGGCUGAACAUAAAAUGAAAGAAAAAGUCAAAAAGCACAAAGAGCGGGAGGACUGAGAUCUUGUCCUAAAGUGGAGCAAAGGAGUGGAGCAUGAUGGACUGCAGAGAUAGGCUGUAAAACUAAGCUUGACUGCGUAUCCGGGUGUUUUCUUGAGCGCCGCAUUGUUCACUGAAAGUGAAAUGCUGAUUCUAAUUGAGAGAAGCACACAGGAGCAUGUUCAAAUAGCUCAUUUGGAGCCUGUGUCAUCGCUUACGGCCAUACCACCCUGAACACGCCCGAUCUCGUCCGAUCUCGGAAGCUAAGCAGGGUCGGGCCUGGUUAGUACUUGGAUGGGAGACCGCCUGGGAAUACCAGGUGCUGUAAGCUUUUCUCUUCUUUUCUUGCAUCUUUUUGCCGUGUUCUCUCUCCAAGAGGCUAGGAUAUCGGUCUUUGGGGAGCCUGGUCUUUUGCUUGGACAAAUGCAAGUGCACUUGGAGAUUAGGCUGAACAUAAAAUGAAAGAAAAAGUCAAAAAGCACAAAGAGCGGGAGGACUGAGAUCUUGUCCUAAAGUGGAGCAAAGGAGUGGAGCAUGAUGGACUGCAGAGAUAGGCUGUAAAACUAAGCUUGACUGCGUAUCCGGGUGUUUUCUUGAGCGCCGCAUUGUUCACUGAAAGUGAAAUGCUGAUUCUAAUUGAGAGAAGCACACAGGAGCAUGUUCAAAUAGCUCAUUUGGAGCCUGUGUCAUCGCUUACGGCCAUACCACCCUGAACACGCCCGAUCUCGUCCGAUCUCGGAAGCUAAGCAGGGUCGGGCCUGGUUAGUACUUGGAUGGGAGACCGCCUGGGAAUACCAGGUGCUGUAAGCUUUUCUCUUCUUUUCUUGCAUCUUUUUGCCGUGUUCUCUCUCCAAGAGGCUAGGAUAUCGGUCUUUGGGGAGCCUGGUCUUUUGCUUGGACAAAUGCAAGUGCACUUGGAGAUUAGGCUGAACAUAAAAUGAAAGAAAAAGUCAAAAAGCACAAAGAGCGGGAGGACUGAGAUCUUGUCCUAAAGUGGAGCAAAGGAGUGGAGCAUGAUGGACUGCAGAGAUAGGCUGUAAAACUAAGCUUGACUGCGUAUCCGGGUGUUUUCUUGAGCGCCGCAUUGUUCACUGAAAGUGAAAUGCUGAUUCUAAUUGAGAGAAGCACACAGGAGCAUGUUCAAAUAGCUCAUUUGGAGCCUGUGUCAUCGCUUACGGCCAUACCACCCUGAACACGCCCGAUCUCGUCCGAUCUCGGAAGCUAAGCAGGGUCGGGCCUGGUUAGUACUUGGAUGGGAGACCGCCUGGGAAUACCAGGUGCUGUAAGCUUUUCUCUUCUUUUCUUGCAUCUUUUUGCCGUGUUCUCUCUCCAAGAGGCUAGGAUAUCGGUCUUUGGGGAGCCUGGUCUUUUGCUUGGACAAAUGCAAGUGCACUUGGAGAUUAGGCUGAACAUAAAAUGAAAGAAAAAGUCAAAAAGCACAAAGAGCGGGAGGACUGAGAUCUUGUCCUAAAGUGGAGCAAAGGAGUGGAGCAUGAUGGACUGCAGAGAUAGGCUGUAAAACUAAGCUUGACUGCGUAUCCGGGUGUUUUCUUGAGCGCCGCAUUGUUCACUGAAAGUGAAAUGCUGAUUCUAAUUGAGAGAAGCACACAGGAGCAUGUUCAAAUAGCUCAUUUGGAGCCUGUGUCAUCGCUUACGGCCAUACCACCCUGAACACGCCCGAUCUCGUCCGAUCUCGGAAGCUAAGCAGGGUCGGGCCUGGUUAGUACUUGGAUGGGAGACCGCCUGGGAAUACCAGGUGCUGUAAGCUUUUCUCUUUUUUCUUGCAUCUUUUGCCGUGUUCUCUCUCCAAGAGGCUAGGAUAUCGGUCUUUGGGGAGCCUGGUCUUUUGCUUGGACAAAUGCAAGUGCACUUGGAGAUUAGGCUGAACAUAAAAUGAAAGAAAAAGUCAAAAAGCACAAAGAGCGGGAGGACUGAGAUCUUGUCCUAAAGUGGAGCAAAGGAGUGGAGCAUGAUGGACUGCAGAGAUAGGCUGUAAAACUAAGCUUGACUGCGUAUCCGGGUGUUUUCUUGAGCGCCGCAUUGUUCACUGAAAGUGAAAUGCUGAUUCUAAUUGAGAGAAGCACACAGGAGCAUGUUCAAAUAGCUCAUUUGGAGCCUGUGUCAUCGCUUACGGCCAUACCACCCUGAACACGCCCGAUCUCGUCCGAUCUCGGAAGCUAAGCAGGGUCGGGCCUGGUUAGUACUUGGAUGGGAGACCGCCUGGGAAUACCAGGUGCUGUAAGCUUUUCUUUUUUUCUUGCAUCUUUUUGCCGUGUUCUCUCUCCAAGAGGCUAGGAUAUCGGUCUUUGGGGAGCCUGGUCUUUUGCUUGGACAAAUGCAAGUGCACUUGGAGAUUAGGCUGAACAUAAAUGAAAGAAAAAGUCAAAAAGCACAAAGAGCGGGAGGACUGAGAUCUUGUCCUAAAGUGGAGCAAAGGAGUGGAGCAUGAUGGACUGCAGAGAUAGGCUGUAAAACUAAGCUUGACUGCGUAUCCGGGUGUUUUCUUGAGCGCCGCAUUGUUCACUGAAAGUGAAAUGCUGAUUCUAAUUGAGAGAAGCACACAGGAGCAUGUUCAAAUAGCUCAUUUGGAGCCUGUGUCAUCGCUUACGGCCAUACCACCCUGAACACGCCCGAUCUCGUCCGAUCUCGGAAGCUAAGCAGGGUCGGGCCUGGUUAGUACUUGGAUGGGAGACCGCCUGGGAAUACCAGGUGCUGUAAGCUUUUCUUUUUUCUUGCAUCUUGUGCCGUGUUCUCUCUCCAAGAGGCUAGGAUAUCGGUCUUUGGGGAGCCUGGUCUUUUGCUUGGACAAUGCAAGUGCACUUGGAGAUUAGGCUGAACAUAAAAUGAAAGAAAAAGUCAAAAAGCACAAAGAGCGGGAGGACUGAGAUCUUGUCCUAAAGUGGAGCAAAGGAGUGGAGCAUGAUGGACUGCAGAGAUAGGCUGUAAAACUAAGCUUGACUGCGUAUCCGGGUGUUUUCUUGAGCGCCGCAUUGUUCACUGAAAGUGAAAUGCUGAUUCUAAUUGAGAGAAGCACACAGGAGCAUGUUCAAAUAGCUCAUUUGGAGCCUGUGUCAUCGCUUACGGCCAUACCACCCUGAACACGCCCGAUCUCGUCCGAUCUCGGAAGCUAAGCAGGGUCGGGCCUGGUUAGUACUUGGAUGGGAGACCGCCUGGGAAUACCAGGUGCUGUAAGCUUUUCUUUUUUUCUUGCAUCUUUUGCCGUGUUCUCUCUCCAAGAGGCUAGGAUAUCGGUCUUUGGGGAGCCUGGUCUUUUGCUUGGACCAAUGCAAGUACACUUGGAGAUGAGGCUUCAACAUAAAAUGAAAGAAAAGUCAAAAAGCACAAAGAGCGGGAGGACUGAGAUCUUGUCAUGAAGUGGAGCAAAGGAGUGGAGCAUGAUGGACUGCAGAGAUAGGCUGUAAAACUAAGCUUGACUGCGUAUCCGGGUGUUUUCUUGAGCGCCGCAUUGUUCACUGAAAGUGAAAUGCUGAUUCUAAUUGAGAGAACCACACAGGAGCAUGUUCAAAUAGCUCAUUUGGAGCCUGUGUCAUCGCUUACGGCCAUACCACCCUGAACACGCCCGAUCUCGUCCGAUCUCGGAAGCUAAGCAGGGUCGGGCCUGGUUAGUACUUGGAUGGGAGACCGCCUGGGAAUACCAGGUGCUGUAAGCUUUUCUUUUCUUUCUAUCUUUUGCCGUGUUCUCUCUCCAAGAGGCUAGGAUAUGGGUCUUUGGGGAGCCUGGUCUUUUGCUUGGACCAAAUGCAAGUGCACUUGGAGAUGAGCCUUCAAGAUAAAAUGAAAGAAAAAGUCAAAAAAGCACAAAGAGCGGGAGGACUGAGAUCUUGUCCUAAAGUGGAGCAAAGGAGUGGAGCAUGAUGGACUGCAGAGAUAGGCUGUAAAACUAAGCUUGACUGCGUAUCCGGGUGUUUUCUUGAGCGCCGCAUUGUUCACUGAAAGUGAAAUGCUGAUUCUAAUUGAGAGAACCACACAGGAGCAUGUUCAAAUAGCUCAUUUAGAGCCUGUGUCAUAGCUGGGUCAAACCACCCUGAACACGCCCGAUCUCGUCCGAUCUCGGAAGCUAAGCAGGGUCGGGCCUGGUUAGUACUUGGAUGGGAGACCGCCUGGGAAUACCAGGUGCUGUAAGCUUUUCUUUUCUUGUAUCUUUUGCCGUGUUCUCUCUCCAAGAGGCUAGGAUAUCGGUCUUUGGGGAGCCUGGUCUUUUGCUUGGACCAAUGCAAAUACACUUGGAGAUGAGCCUUCAAGAUAAAUGAAAGAAAAAGUCAAAAAAGCACAAAGAGCGGGAGGACUGAGAUCUUGUCAUGAAGCGGAGCAAAGGAGUGGAGCAUGAUGGACUGCAGAGAUAGGCUGUAAAACUAAGCUUGACUGCGUAUCCGGGUGUUUUCUUGAGCGACGCAUUGUUCACUGAAAGUGAAAUGCUGAUUCUAAUUGAGAGAACCACACAGGAGCACGUUCAAAUAGCUCAUUUGGAGCCUGUGUCAUCGCUUACGGCCAUACCACCCUGAACACGCCCGAUCUCGUCCGAUCUCGGAAGCUAAGCAGGGUCGGGCCUGGUUAGUACUUGGAUGGGAGACCGCCUGGGAAUACCAGGUGCUGUAAGCUUUUCUUUUCUUGUAUCUUGUGCCGUGUUCUCUCUCCAAGAGGCUAGGAUAUGGGUCUUUGGGGAGCCUGGUCUUUAGCUUGGACCAAUGCAAAUACACUUGGAGAUGAGCCUUCAAGAUAAAUGAAAGAAAAGUCAAAAAGCACAAAGAGCGGGAGGACUGAGAUCUUGUCAUGAAGCGGAGCAAAGGAGUGGAGCAUGAUGGACUGCAGAGAUAGGCUGUAAAACUAAGCUUGACUGCGUAUCCGGGUGUUUUCUUGAGCGACGCAUUGUUCAUUGAAAGUGAAAUGCUGAUUCUAAUUGAGAGAACCACACAGGAGCAUGUUCAAAUAGCUCAUUUGGAGCCUGUGUCAUCGCUUACGGCCAUACCACCCUGAACACGCCCGAUCUCGUCCGAUCUCGGAAGCUAAGCAGGGUCGGGCCUGGUUAGUACUUGGAUGGGAGACCGCCUGGGAAUACCAGGUGCUGUAAGCUUUUCUUUUCUUGCAUCUUGUGCCGUGUUCUCUCUCCAAGAGGCUAGGAUAUGGGUCUUUGGGGAGCCUGGUCUUUUGCUUGGACCAAUGCAAAUACACUUGGAGAUGAGCCUUCAAGAUAAAUGAAAGAAAGAGUCAAAAAGCACAAAGAGCGGGAGGACUGAGAUCUUGUCAUGAAGUGGAGCAAAGGAGUGGAGCAUGAUGGACUGCAGAGAUAGGCUGUAAAACUAAGCUUGACUGCGUAUCCGGGUGUUUUCUUGAGCGACGCAUUGUUCAUUGAAAGUGAAAUGCUGAUUCUAAUUGAGAGAACCACACAGGAGCACGUUCAAAUAGCUCAUUUGGAGCCUGUGUCAUCGCUUACGGCCAUACCACCCUGAACACGCCCGAUCUCGUCCGAUCUCGGAAGCUAAGCAGGGUCGGGCCUGGUUAGUACUUGGAUGGGAGACCGCCUGGGAAUACCAGGUGCUGUAAGCUUUUCUUUUCUUGUAUCUUGUGCCGUGUUCUCUCUCCAAGAGGCUAGGAUAUGGGUCUUUGGGGAGCCUGGUCUUUAGCUUGGACCAAUGCAAAUACACUUGGAGAUGAGCCUUCAAGAUAAAUGAAAGAAAGAGUCAAAAAAGCACAAAGAGCGGGAGGACUGAGAUCUUGUCAUGAAGCGGAGCAAAGGAGUGGAGCAUGAUGGACUGCAGAGAUAGGCUGUAAAACUAAGCUUGACUGCGUAUCCGGGUGUUUUCUUGAGCGACGCAUUGUUCAUUGAAAGUGAAAUGCUGAUUCUAAUUGAGAGAACCACACAGGAGCACGUUCAAAUAGCUCAUUUGGAGCAUGUGUCAUCGCUUACGGCCAUACCACCCUGAACACGCCCGAUCUCGUCCGAUCUCGGAAGCUAAGCAGGGUCGGGCCUGGUUAGUACUUGGAUGGGAGACCGCCUGGGAAUACCAGGUGCUGUAAGCUUUUCUUUUCUUGUCUUUUGCCGUGUUCUCUCUCCAAGAGGCUAGGAUAUGGGUCUUUGGGGAGCCUGGUCUUUAGCUUGGACCAAUGCAAAUACACUUGGAGAUGAGCCUUCAAGAUAAAUGAAAGAAAGAGUCAAAAAAGCACAAAGAGCGGGAGGACUGAGAUCUUGUCAUGAAGCGGAGCAAAGGAGUGGAGCAUGAUGGACUGCAGAGAUAGGCUGUAAAACUAAGCUUGACUGCGUAUCCGGGUGUUUUCUUGAGCGACGCAUUGUUCAUUGAAAGUGAAAUGCUGAUUCUAAUUGAGAGAACCACACAGGAGCACGUUCAAAUAGCUCAUUUGGAGCCUGUGUCAUCGCUUACGGCCAUACCACCCUGAACACGCCCGAUCUCGUCCGAUCUCGGAAGCUAAGCAGGGUCGGGCCUGGUUAGUACUUGGAUGGGAGACCGCCUGGGAAUACCAGGUGCUGUAAGCUUUUCUUUUCUUGUAUCUUGUGCCGUGUUCUCUCUCCAAGAGGCUAGGAUAUGGGUCUUUGGGGAGCCUGGUCUUUAGCUUGGACCAAUGCAAAUACACUUGGAGAUGAGCCUUCAAGAUAAAUGAAAGAAAGAGUCAAAAAAGCACAAAGAGCGGGAGGACUGAGAUCUUGUCAUGAAGCGGAGCAAAGGAGUGGAGCAUGAUGGACUGCAGAGAUAGGCUGUAAAACUAAGCUUGACUGCGUAUCCGGGUGUUUUCUUGAGCGACGCAUUGUUCAUUGAAAGUGAAAUGCUGAUUAUAAUUGAGAGAACCACACAGGAGCACGUUCAAAUAGCUCAUUUGGAGCCUGUGUCAUCGCUUACGGCCAUACCACCCUGAACACGCCCGAUCUCGUCCGAUCUCGGAAGCUAAGCAGGGUCGGGCCUGGUUAGUACUUGGAUGGGAGACCGCCUGGGAAUACCAGGUGCUGUAAGCUUUUCUUUUCUUGUAUCUUGUGCCGUGUUCUCUCUCCAAGAGGCUAGGAUAUGGGUCUUUGGGGAGCCUGGUCUUUAGCUUGGACCAAUGCAAAUACACUUGGAGAUGAGCCUUCAAGAUAAAUGAAAGAAAGAGUCAAAAAAGCACAAAGAGCGGGAGGACUGAGAUCUUGUCAUGAAGCGGAGCAAAGGAGUGGAGCAUGAUGGACUGCAGAGAUAGGCUGUAAAACUAAGCUUGACUGCGUAUCCGGGUGUUUUCUUGAGCGACGCAUUGUUCAUUGAAAGUGAAAUGCUGAUUAUAAUUGAGAGAACCACACAGGAGCACGUUCAAAUAGCUCAUUUGGAGCCUGUGUCAUCGCUUACGGCCAUACCACCCUGAACACGCCCGAUCUCGUCCGAUCUCGGAAGCUAAGCAGGGUCGGGCCUGGUUAGUACUUGGAUGGGAGACCGCCUGGGAAUACCAGGUGCUGUAAGCUUUUCUUUUCUUGUAUCUUGUGCCGUGUUCUCUCUCCAAGAGGCUAGGAUAUGGGUCUUUGGGGAGCCUGGUCUUUAGCUUGGACCAAUGCAAAUACACUUGGAGAUGAGCCUUCAAGAUAAAUGAAAGAAAGAGUCAAAAAAGCACAAAGAGCGGGAGGACUGAGAUCUUGUCAUGAAGCGGAGCAAAGGAGUGGAGCAUGAUGGACUGCAGAGAUAGGCUGUAAAACUAAGCUUGACUGCGUAUCCGGGUGUUUUCUUGAGCGACGCAUUGUUCAUUGAAAGUGAAAUGCUGAUUCUAAUUGAGAGAACCACACAGGAGCACGUUCAAAUAGCUCAUUUGGAGCCUGUGUCAUCGCUUACGGCCAUACCACCCUGAACACGCCCGAUCUCGUCCGAUCUCGGAAGCUAAGCAGGGUCGGGCCUGGUUAGUACUUGGAUGGGAGACCGCCUGGGAAUACCAGGUGCUGUAAGCUUUUCUUUUCUUGUAUCUUGUGCCGUGUUCUCUCUCCAAGAGGCUAGGAUAUGGGUCUUUGGGGAGCCUGGUCUUUAGCUUGGACCAAUGCAAAUACACUUGGAGAUGAGCCUUCAAGAUAAAUGAAAGAAAGAGUCAAAAAGCACAAAGAGCGGGAGGACUGAGAUCUUGUCAUGAAGUGGAGCAAAGGAGUGGAGCAUGAUGGACUGCAGAGAUAGGCUGUAAAACUAAGCUUGACUGCGUAUCCGGGUGUUUUCUUGAGCGACGCAUUGUUCAUUGAAAGUGAAAUGCUGAUUAUAAUUGAGAGAACCACACAGGAGCACGUUCAAAUAGCUCAUUUGGAGCCUGUGUCAUCGCUUACGGCCAUACCACCCUGAACACGCCCGAUCUCGUCCGAUCUCGGAAGCUAAGCAGGGUCGGGCCUGGUUAGUACUUGGAUGGGAGACCGCCUGGGAAUACCAGGUGCUGUAAGCUUUUCUUUUCUUGUAUCUUGUGCCGUGUUCUCUCUCCAAGAGGCUAGGAUAUGGGUCUUUGGGGAGCCUGGUCUUUAGCUUGGACCAAUGCAAAUACACUUGGAGAUGAGCCUUCAAGAUAAAUGAAAGAAAGAGUCAAAAAAGCACAAAGAGCGGGAGGACUGAGAUCUUGUCAUGAAGCGGAGCAAAGGAGUGGAGCAUGAUGGACUGCAGAGAUAGGCUGUAAAACUAAGCUUGACUGCGUAUCCGGGUGUUUUCUUGAGCGACGCAUUGUUCAUUGAAAGUGAAAUGCUGAUUAUAAUUGAGAGAACCACACAGGAGCACGUUCAAAUAGCUCAUUUGAAGCAUGUGUCAUCGCUUACGGCCAUACCACCCUGAACACGCCCGAUCUCGUCCGAUCUCGGAAGCUAAGCAGGGUCGGGCCUGGUUAGUACUUGGAUGGGAGACCGCCUGGGAAUACCAGGUGCUGUAAGCUUUUCUUUUCUUGUGCCGUGUUCUCUCUCCAAGAGGCUAGGAUAUGGGUCUUUGGGGAGCCUGGUCUUUAGCUUGGACCAAUGCAAAUACACUUGGAGAUGAGCCUUCAAGAUAAAUGAAAGAAAGAGUCAAAAAAGCACAAAGAGCGGGAGGACUGAGAUCUUGUCAUGAAGCGGAGCAAAGGAGUGGAGCAUGAUGGACUGCAGAGAUAGGCUGUAAAACUAAGCUUGACUGCGUAUCCGGGUGUUUUCUUGAGCGACGCAUUGUUCAUUGAAAGUGAAAUGCUGAUUAUAAUUGAGAGAACCACACAGGAGCACGUUGAAAUAGCUCAUUUGGAGCCUGUGUCAUCGCUUACGGCCAUACCACCCUGAACACGCCCGAUCUCGUCCGAUCUCGGAAGCUAAGCAGGGUCGGGCCUGGUUAGUACUUGGAUGGGAGACCGCCUGGGAAUACCAGGUGCUGUAAGCUUUUCUUUUCUUGUAUCUUGUGCCGUGUUCUCUCUCCAAGAGGCUAGGAUAUGGGUCUUUGGGGAGCCUGGUCUUUAGCUUGGACCAAUGCAAAUACACUUGGAGAUGAGCCUUCAAGAUAAAUGAAAGAAAGAGUCAAAAAAGCACAAAGAGCGGGAGGACUGAGAUCUUGUCAUGAAGCGGAGCAAAGGAGUGGAGCAUGAUGGACUGCAGAGAUAGGCUGUAAAACUAAGCUUGACUGCGUAUCCGGGUGUUUUCUUGAGCGACGCAUUGUUCAUUGAAAGUGAAAUGCUGAUUAUAAUUGAGAGAACCACACAGGAGCACGUUGAAAUAGCUCAUUUGGAGCCUGUGUCAUCGCUUACGGCCAUACCACCCUGAACACGCCCGAUCUCGUCCGAUCUCGGAAGCUAAGCAGGGUCGGGCCUGGUUAGUACUUGGAUGGGAGACCGCCUGGGAAUACCAGGUGCUGUAAGCUUUUCUUUUCUUGUAUCUUGUGCCGUGUUCUCUCUCCAAGAGGCUAGGAUAUGGGUCUUUGGGGAGCCUGGUCUUUAGCUUGGACCAAUGCAAAUACACUUGGAGAUGAGCCUUCAAGAUAAAUGAAAGAAAGAGUCAAAAAAGCACAAAGAGCGGGAGGACUGAGAUCUUGUCAUGAAGCGGAGCAAAGGAGUGGAGCAUGAUGGACUGCAGAGAUAGGCUGUAAAACUAAGCUUGACUGCGUAUCCGGGUGUUUUCUUGAGCGACGCAUUGUUCAUUGAAAGUGAAAUGCUGAUUAUAAUUGAGAGAACCACACAGGAGCACGUUCAAAUAGCUCAUUUGGAGCCUGUGUCAUCGCUUACGGCCAUACCACCCUGAACACGCCCGAUCUCGUCCGAUCUCGGAAGCUAAGCAGGGUCGGGCCUGGUUAGUACUUGGAUGGGAGACCGCCUGGGAAUACCAGGUGCUGUAAGCUUUUCUUUUCUUGUAUCUUGUGCCGUGUUCUCUCUCCAAGAGGCUAGGAUAUGGGUCUUUGGGGAGCCUGGUCUUUAGCUUGGACCAAUGCAAAUACACUUGGAGAUGAGCCUUCAAGAUAAAUGAAAGAAAGAGUCAAAAAAGCACAAAGAGCGGGAGGACUGAGAUCUUGUCAUGAAGCGGAGCAAAGGAGUGGAGCAUGAUGGACUGCAGAGAUAGGCUGUAAAACUAAGCUUGACUGCGUAUCCGGGUGUUUUCUUGAGCGACGCAUUGUUCAUUGAAAGUGAAAUGCUGAUUAUAAUUGAGAGAACCACACAGGAGCACGUUGAAAUAGCUCAUUUGAAGCCUGUGUCAUCGCUUACGGCCAUACCACCCUGAACACGCCCGAUCUCGUCCGAUCUCGGAAGCUAAGCAGGGUCGGGCCUGGUUAGUACUUGGAUGGGAGACCGCCUGGGAAUACCAGGUGCUGUAAGCUUUUCUUUUCUUGUAUCUUGUGCCGUGUUCUCUCUCCAAGAGGCUAGGAUAUGGGUCUUUGGGGAGCCUGGUCUUUAGCUUGGACCAAUGCAAAUACACUUGGAGAUGAGCCUUCAAGAUAAAUGAAAGAAAGAGUCAAAAAAGCACAAAGAGCGGGAGGACUGAGAUCUUGUCAUGAAGCGGAGCAAAGGAGUGGAGCAUGAUGGACUGCAGAGAUAGGCUGUAAAACUAAGCUUGACUGCGUAUCCGGGUGUUUUCUUGAGCGACGCAUUGUUCAUUGAAAGUGAAAUGCUGAUUAUAAUUGAGAGAACCACACAGGAGCACGUUGAAAUAGCUCAUUUGGAGCCUGUGUCAUCGCUUACGGCCAUACCACCCUGAACACGCCCGAUCUCGUCCGAUCUCGGAAGCUAAGCAGGGUCGGGCCUGGUUAGUACUUGGAUGGGAGACCGCCUGGGAAUACCAGGUGCUGUAAGCUUUUCUUUUCUUGUAUCUUGUGCCGUGUUCUCUCUCCAAGAGGCUAGGAUAUGGGUCUUUGGGGAGCCUGGUCUUUAGCUUGGACCAAUGCAAAUACACUUGGAGAUGAGCCUUCAAGAUAAAUGAAAGAAAGAGUCAAAAAAGCACAAAGAGCGGGAGGACUGAGAUCUUGUCAUGAAGCGGAGCAAAGGAGUGGAGCAUGAUGGACUGCAGAGAUAGGCUGUAAAACUAAGCUUGACUGCGUAUCCGGGUGUUUUCUUGAGCGACGCAUUGUUCAUUGAAAGUGAAAUGCUGAUUAUAAUUGAGAGAACCACACAGGAGCACGUUCAAAUAGCUCAUUUGGAGCCUGUGUCAUCGCUUACGGCCAUACCACCCUGAACACGCCCGAUCUCGUCCGAUCUCGGAAGCUAAGCAGGGUCGGGCCUGGUUAGUACUUGGAUGGGAGACCGCCUGGGAAUACCAGGUGCUGUAAGCUUUUCUUUUCUUGUAUCUUGUGCCGUGUUCUCUCUCCAAGAGUCUAGGAUAUGGGUCUUUGGGGAGCCUGGUCUUUAGCUUGGACCAAUGCAAAUACACUUGGAGAUGAGCCUUCAAGAUAAAUGAAAGAAAGAGUCAAAAAAGCACAAAGAGCGGGAGGACUGAGAUCUUGUCAUGAAGCGGAGCAAAGGAGUGGAGCAUGAUGGACUGCAGAGAUAGGCUGUAAAACUAAGCUUGACUGCGUAUCCGGGUGUUUUCUUGAGCGACGCAUUGUUCAUUGAAAGUGAAAUGCUGAUUAUAAUUGAGUGAACCACACAGGAGCAUGUUCAAAUAGCUCAUUUGAAGCCUGUGUCAUCGCUUACGGCCAUACCACCCUGAACACGCCCGAUCUCGUCCGAUCUCGGAAGCUAAGCAGGGUCGGGCCUGGUUAGUACUUGGAUGGGAGACCGCCUGGGAAUACCAGGUGCUGUAAGCUUUUCUUUUCUUGUAUCUUGUGCCGUGUUCUCUCUCCAAGAGGCUAGGAUAUGGGUCUUUGGGGAGCCUGGUCUUUAGCUUGGACCAAUGCAAAUACACUUGGAGAUGAGCCUUCAAGAUAAAUGAAAGAAAGAGUCAAAAAAGCACAAAGAGCGGGAGGACUGAGAUCUUGUCAUGAAGCGGAGCAAAGGAGUGGAGCAUGAUGGACUGCAGAGAUAGGCUGUAAAACUAAGCUUGACUGCGUAUCCGGGUGUUUUCUUGAGCGACGCAUUGUUCAUUGAAAGUGAAAUGCUGAUUAUAAUUGAGAGAACCACACAGGAGCACGUUGAAAUAGCUCAUUUGAAGCCUGUGUCAUCGCUUACGGCCAUACCACCCUGAACACGCCCGAUCUCGUCCGAUCUCGGAAGCUAAGCAGGGUCGGGCCUGGUUAGUACUUGGAUGGGAGACCGCCUGGGAAUACCAGGUGCUGUAAGCUUUUCUUUUCUUGUAUCUUGUGCCGUGUUCUCUCUCCAAGAGUCUAGGAUAUGGGUCUUUGGGGAGCCUGGUCUUUAGCUUGGACCAAUGCAAAUACACUUGGAGAUGAGCCUUCAAGAUAAAUGAAAGAAAGAGUCAAAAAAGCACAAAGAGCGGGAGGACUGAGAUCUUGUCAUGAAGCGGAGCAAAGGAGUGGAGCAUGAUGGACUGCAGAGAUAGGCUGUAAAACUAAGCUUGACUGCGUAUCCGGGUGUUUUCUUGAGCGACGCAUUGUUCAUUGAAAGUGAAAUGCUGAUUAUAAUUGAGAGAACCACACAGGAGCAUGUUCAAAUAGCUCAUUUGGAGCCUGUGUCAUCGCUGACGGCCAUACCACCCUGAACACGCCCGAUCUCGUCCGAUCUCGGAAGCUAAGCAGGGUCGGGCCUGGUUAGUACUUGGAUGGGAGACCGCCUGGGAAUACCAGGUGCUGUAAGCUUUUCUUUUCUUGUAUCUUGUGCCGUGUUCUCUCUCCAAGAGGCUAGGAUAUGGGUCUUUGGGGAGCCUGGUCUUUAGCUUGGACCAAUGCAAAUACACUUGGAGAUGAGCCUUCAAGAUAAAUGAAAGAAAGAGUCAAAAAAGCACAAAGAGCGGGAGGACUGAGAUCUUGUCAUGAAGCGGAGCAAAGGAGUGGAGCAUGAUGGACUGCAGAGAUAGGCUGUAAAACUAAGCUUGACUGCGUAUCCGGGUGUUUUCUUGAGCGACGCAUUGUUCAUUGAAAGUGAAAUGCUGAUUAUAAUUGAGAGAACCACACAGGAGCACGUUGAAAUAGCUCAUUUGGAGCCUGUGUCAUCGCUUACGGCCAUACCACCCUGAACACGCCCGAUCUCGUCCGAUCUCGGAAGCUAAGCAGGGUCGGGCCUGGUUAGUACUUGGAUGGGAGACCGCCUGGGAAUACCAGGUGCUGUAAGCUUUUCUUUUCUUGUAUCUUGUGCCGUGUUCUCUCUCCAAGAGGCUAGGAUAUGGGUCUUUGGGGAGCCUGGUCUUUAGCUUGGACCAAUGCAAAUACACUUGGAGAUGAGCCUUCAAGAUAAAUGAAAGAAAGAGUCAAAAAAGCACAAAGAGCGGGAGGACUGAGAUCUUGUCAUGAAGCGGAGCAAAGGAGUGGAGCAUGAUGGACUGCAGAGAUAGGCUGUAAAACUAAGCUUGACUGCGUAUCCGGGUGUUUUCUUGAGCGACGCAUUGUUCAUUGAAAGUGAAAUGCUGAUUAUAAUUGAGAGAACCACACAGGAGCACGUUGAAAUAGCUCAUUUGGAGCCUGUGUCAUCGCUUACGGCCAUACCACCCUGAACACGCCCGAUCUCGUCCGAUCUCGGAAGCUAAGCAGGGUCGGGCCUGGUUAGUACUUGGAUGGGAGACCGCCUGGGAAUACCAGGUGCUGUAAGCUUUUCUUUUCUUGUAUCUUGUGCCGUGUUCUCUCUCCAAGAGGCUAGGAUAUGGGUCUUUGGGGAGCCUGGUCUUUAGCUUGGACCAAUGCAAAUACACUUGGAGAUGAGCCUUCAAGAUAAAUGAAAGAAAGAGUCAAAAAAGCACAAAGAGCGGGAGGACUGAGAUCUUGUCAUGAAGCGGAGCAAAGGAGUGGAGCAUGAUGGACUGCAGAGAUAGGCUGUAAAACUAAGCUUGACUGCGUAUCCGGGUGUUUUCUUGAGCGACGCAUUGUUCAUUGAAAGUGAAAUGCUGAUUAUAAUUGAGAGAACCACACAGGAGCACGUUGAAAUAGCUCAUUUGGAGCCUGUGUCAUCGCUUACGGCCAUACCACCCUGAACACGCCCGAUCUCGUCCGAUCUCGGAAGCUAAGCAGGGUCGGGCCUGGUUAGUACUUGGAUGGGAGACCGCCUGGGAAUACCAGGUGCUGUAAGCUUUUCUUUUCUUGUAUCUUGUGCCGUAUUCCCUCUCCAAGAGGCUAGGAUAUGGGUCUUUGGGGAGCCUGGUCUUUAGCUUGGACCAAUGCAAAUACACUUGGAGAUGAGCCUUCAAGAUAAAUGAAAGAAAGAGUCAAAAAAGCACAAAGAGCGGGAGGACUGAGAUCUUGUCAUGAAGUGGAGCAAAGGAGUGGAGCAUGAUGGACUGCAGAGAUAGGCUGUAAAACUAAGCUUGACUGCGUAUCCGGGUGUUUUCUUGAGCGACGCAUUGUUCAUUGAAAGUGAAAUGCUGAUUAUAAUUGAGAGAACCACACAGGAGCACGUUGAAAUAGCUCAUUUGGAGCCUGUGUCAUCGCUUACGGCCAUACCACCCUGAACACGCCCGAUCUCGUCCGAUCUCGGAAGCUAAGCAGGGUCGGGCCUGGUUAGUACUUGGAUGGGAGACCGCCUGGGAAUACCAGGUGCUGUAAGCUUUUCUUUUCUUGUAUCUUGUGCCGUGUUCUCUCUCCAAGAGGCUAGGAUAUGGGUCUUUGGGGAGCCUGGUCUUUAGCUUGGACCAAUGCAAAUACACUUGGAGAUGAGCCUUCAAGAUAAAUGAAAGAAAGAGUCAAAAAAGCACAAAGAGCGGGAGGACUGAGAUCUUGUCAUGAAGCGGAGCAAAGGAGUGGAGCAUGAUGGACUGCAGAGAUAGGCUGUAAAACUAAGCUUGACUGCGUAUGCGGGUGUUUUCUUGAGCGACGCAUUGUUCAUUGAAAGUGAAAUGCUGAUUAUAAUUGAGAGAACCACACAGGAGCACGUUCAAAUAGCUCAUUUGAAGCAUGUGUCAUCGCUUACGGCCAUACCACCCUGAACACGCCCGAUCUCGUCCGAUCUCGGAAGCUAAGCAGGGUCGGGCCUGGUUAGUACUUGGAUGGGAGACCGCCUGGGAAUACCAGGUGCUGUAAGCUUUUCUUUUCUUGUGCCGUGUUCUCUCUCCAAGAGGCUAGGAUAUGGGUCUUUGGGGAGCCUGGUCUUUAGCUUGGACCAAUGCAAAUACACUUGGAGAUGAGCCUUCAAGAUAAAUGAAAGAAAGAGUCAAAAAAGCACAAAGAGCGGGAGGACUGAGAUCUUGUCAUGAAGCGGAGCAAAGGAGUGGAGCAUGAUGGACUGCAGAGAUAGGCUGUAAAACUAAGCUUGACUGCGUAUCCGGGUGUUUUCUUGAGCGACGCAUUGUUCAUUGAAAGUGAAAUGCUGAUUAUAAUUGAGAGAACCACACAGGAGCACGUUGAAAUAGCUCAUUUGGAGCCUGUGUCAUCGCUUACGGCCAUACCACCCUGAACACGCCCGAUCUCGUCCGAUCUCGGAAGCUAAGCAGGGUCGGGCCUGGUUAGUACUUGGAUGGGAGACCGCCUGGGAAUACCAGGUGCUGUAAGCUUUUCUUUUCUUGUAUCUUGUGCCGUGUUCUCUCUCCAAGAGGCUAGGAUAUGGGUCUUUGGGGAGCCUGGUCUUUAGCUUGGACCAAUGCAAAUACACUUGGAGAUGAGCCUUCAAGAUAAAUGAAAGAAAGAGUCAAAAAAGCACAAAGAGCGGGAGGACUGAGAUCUUGUCAUGAAGCGGAGCAAAGGAGUGGAGCAUGAUGGACUGCAGAGAUAGGCUGUAAAACUAAGCUUGACUGCGUAUCCGGGUGUUUUCUUGAGCGACGCAUUGUUCAUUGAAAGUGAAAUGCUGAUUAUAAUUGAGAGAACCACACAGGAGCACGUUGAAAUAGCUCAUUUGGAGCCUGUGUCAUCGCUUACGGCCAUACCACCCUGAACACGCCCGAUCUCGUCCGAUCUCGGAAGCUAAGCAGGGUCGGGCCUGGUUAGUACUUGGAUGGGAGACCGCCUGGGAAUACCAGGUGCUGUAAGCUUUUCUUUUCUUGUAUCUUGUGCCGUGUUCUCUCUCCAAGAGGCUAGGAUAUGGGUCUUUGGGGAGCCUGGUCUUUAGCUUGGACCAAUGCAAAUACACUUGGAGAUGAGCCUUCAAGAUAAAUGAAAGAAAGAGUCAAAAAAGCACAAAGAGCGGGAGGACUGAGAUCUUGUCAUGAAGCGGAGCAAAGGAGUGGAGCAUGAUGGACUGCAGAGAUAGGCUGUAAAACUAAGCUUGACUGCGUAUCCGGGUGUUUUCUUGAGCGACGCAUUGUUCAUUGAAAGUGAAAUGCUGAUUAUAAUUGAGAGAACCACACAGGAGCACGUUGAAAUAGCUCAUUUGGAGCCUGUGUCAUCGCUUACGGCCAUACCACCCUGAACACGCCCGAUCUCGUCCGAUCUCGGAAGCUAAGCAGGGUCGGGCCUGGUUAGUACUUGGAUGGGAGACCGCCUGGGAAUACCAGGUGCUGUAAGCUUUUCUUUUCUUGUAUCUUGUGCCGUGUUCUCUCUCCAAGAGGCUAGGAUAUGGGUCUUUGGGGAGCCUGGUCUUUAGCUUGGACCAAUGCAAAUACACUUGGAGAUGAGCCUUCAAGAUAAAUGAAAGAAAGAGUCAAAAAAGCACAAAGAGCGGGAGGACUGAGAUCUUGUCAUGAAGCGGAGCAAAGGAGUGGAGCAUGAUGGACUGCAGAGAUAGGCUGUAAAACUAAGCUUGACUGCGUAUCCGGGUGUUUUCUUGAGCGACGCAUUGUUCAUUGAAAGUGAAAUGCUGAUUAUAAUUGAGAGAAGCACACAGGAGCACGUUCAAAUAGCUCAUUUGGAGCCUGUGUCAUCGCUUACGGCCAUACCACCCUGAACACGCCCGAUCUCGUCCGAUCUCGGAAGCUAAGCAGGGUCGGGCCUGGUUAGUACUUGGAUGGGAGACCGCCUGGGAAUACCAGGUGCUGUAAGCUUUUCUUUUCUUGUAUCUUGUGCCGUGUUCUCUCUCCAAGAGGCUAGGAUAUGGGUCUUUGGGGAGCCUGGUCUUUAGCUUGGACCAAUGCAAAUACACUUGGAGAUGAGCCUUCAAGAUAAAUGAAAGAAAGAGUCAAAAAAGCACAAAGAGCGGGAGGACUGAGAUCUUGUCAUGAAGCGGAGCAAAGGAGUGGAGCAUGAUGGACUGCAGAGAUAGGCUGUAAAACUAAGCUUGACUGCGUAUGCGGGUGUUUUCUUGAGCGACGCAUUGUUCAUUGAAAGUGAAAUGCUGAUUCUAAUUGAGAGAACCACACAGGAGCACGUUGAAAUAGCUCAUUUGGAGCCUGUGUCAUCGCUUACGGCCAUACCACCCUGAACACGCCCGAUCUCGUCCGAUCUCGGAAGCUAAGCAGGGUCGGGCCUGGUUAGUACUUGGAUGGGAGACCGCCUGGGAAUACCAGGUGCUGUAAGCUUUUCUUUUCUUGUAUCUUGUGCCGUGUUCUCUCUCCAAGAGGCUAGGAUAUGGGUCUUUGGGGAGCCUGGUCUUUAGCUUGGACCAAUGCAAAUACACUUGGAGAUGAGCCUUCAAGAUAAAUGAAAGAAAAAGUCAAAAAAGCACAAAGAGCGGGAGGACUGAGAUCUUGUCAUGAAGCGGAGCAAAGGAGUGGAGCAUGAUGGACUGCAGAGAUAGGCUGUAAAACUAAGCUUGACUGCGUAUCCGGGUGUUUUCUUGAGCGACGCAUUGUUCAUUGAAAGUGAAAUGCUGAUUAUAAUUGAGAGAACCACACAGGAGCACGUUGAAAUAGCUCAUUUGGAGCCUGUGUCAUCGCUUACGGCCAUACCACCCUGAACACGCCCGAUCUCGUCCGAUCUCGGAAGCUAAGCAGGGUCGGGCCUGGUUAGUACUUGGAUGGGAGACCGCCUGGGAAUACCAGGUGCUGUAAGCUUUUCUUUUCUUGUAUCUUGUGCCGUGUUCUCUCUCCAAGAGGCUAGGAUAUGGGUCUUUGGGGAGCCUGGUUCUUAGCUUGGACCAAUGCAA